GAUGAACGCUGGCGGCGUGCCUAAUACAUGCAAGUCGAGCGAACGGACGAGAAGCUUGCUUCUCUGAUGUUAGCGGCGGACGGGUGAGUAACACGUGGAUAACCUACCUAUAAGACUGGGAUAACUUCGGGAAACCGGAGCUAAUACCGGAUAAUAUUUUGAACCGCAUGGUUCAAAAGUGAAAGACGGUCUUGCUGUCACUUAUAGAUGGAUGCGCGCUGCAUUAGCUAGUUGGUAAGGUAACGGCUUACCAAGGCAACGAUGCAUAGCCGACCUGAGAGGGUGAUCGGCCACACUGGAACUGAGACACGGUCCAGACUCCUACGGGAGGCAGCAGUAGGGAAUCUUCCGCAAUGGGCGAAAGCCUGACGGAGCAACGCCGCGUGAGUGAUGAAGGUCUUCGGAUCGUAAAACUCUGUUACUAGGGAAGAACAUAUGUGUAAGUAACUGUGCACAUCUUGACGGUACCUAAUCAGAAAGCCACGGCUAACUACGUG
rnacentral:rRNA from 1 species